rfam:Brassica napus, WGS project CCCW01000000 data, contig: 35491
UACCUGGUUGAUCCUGCCAGUAGUCAUAUGCUUGUCUCAAAGAUUAAGCCAUACAUGUGUAAGUAUGAGCGAAUUCAGGCUGUGAAACUGCGAAUGGCUCAUUAAAUCAGUUAUAGUUUGUUUGAUGGUAACUACUACUCGGAUAAACAUAGUAAUUCUAGAGCUAAUACGUGCAACAAACCCCGACUUCUGGAAGGGAUGCAUUUAUUAGAUAAAAGGUCGACGCGGGCUCUGUGAAAGGACCCGUCCCAGUUUCCCUUACCGCCGUUUCGUCCUCAGUUCGCUUGCCCCGACCCAAAAUGGCCCUUUAUGAAAUAUUCCCUUUACUUACGAUUUUUAACCAGCUUUCCUCUAAGAGGUUCAGUUCAGUACACACGGUUUGCUAAGUCUAUUCCAGCAACUUAGCAGUCUACUAGUAAUAGCAGCAUAAUAAACAUGUACCUUACUGCCUCGGUGCUUUGUUAUCUGAUAAUCCAUCCAUACACUUCUUCCUUUCUGUCUUCCUGCUUCCCGUCCGUCUUAUACAGUCAGCACGAUCAGAUACUCAACCGAAUCCCCUUGUUCCUUAGUCACUCAGCCAAUCAUCCCCACAUGACCCAAGUAAACAAAGAGAGACGGCUUGGUCUCCAACCAGCCAUCCAGAACAGACAGUACGCUAGCCAUGCUUAGCGCCCCAGAACCAGUCACUGAUCACCCCCGGAUCAGUCAGCACACACUCGGCUCUCCACCCCUCGAUUCAGUUAGUACUCCCCGCGGCCAUCAUCCAAUACAAGUCUCGGUCCAGUCAUGACCGAUCCAUCUACACUCGGUUCUAUACCAUGGCCGGUACAGAACGUUGGGACUCGAUCUGAGUCCUAACCGCCACUAUCACGUUCCAGCACUAUACAUCCGUUAACCACCUCAGAUAACUCUUGCCCUCUGAUCCGUAUCAUCAGUACAGACGCCUCCCAUUAGAAACCAUCAAACAGUCCGCAGAACCCACCAAAUCAGUCGCGUCAGGACUCGCCGGCCAUCAGGCAGGAUCCGCAAGAUUAAGCCAUCCC